rnacentral:rRNA from 1 species
UACGUAGGCAGCGAGCGUUGUUCGGAAUUACUGGGCGUAAAGAGCGUGUAGGCGGUUUGGUAGGUCCGUUGUGAAAACUCGAGGCUCAACCUCGAGACGCCGAUGGAAACCAUCAGACUAGAGUCCGGAAGAGGAGAGUGGAAUUCCUGGUGUAGCGGUGAAAUGCGCAGAUAUCAGGAGGAACACCGGUGGCGAAGGCGGUUCUCUAGUACGGUACUGACGCUGAGACGCGAAAGCGUGGGGAGCGAACAGG